rnacentral:rRNA from 1 species
GAAGGAACGUUGAAGACGACGACGUUGAUAGGUCGGGUGUGUAAGCGUAGCGAUACGUUGAGCUAACCGAUACUAAUGAACCGUGAGGCUUAACCUUACAACGCCGAAGGUGUUU